AAAAUCUAAGACUUAAGCAGAGACCAAUGCUUUUUCAUAUUGUAUGUGACCAAAUGCAUUAUUAGACAGUGCAGGACAAGCAUAUCUGAUAUCUUACCGCUCACAAUGAGAAAUACUGUAUUUUAAAAGCGUUUAUAAGUCCUUUUGUGAACUAUUUUAAUAAAGCUAACAUUCUAUCUUCUUA